UCUUAUUUCACUACAAAUUUUUGUCAAAACGUGGAAAAGAAAAAGUCACAACCAUCGGAUGCACAAUUUAAAAAGAAGAGGAAAGGAGAAGACGAGAAACGGGCCAAACACAAAGAAGCAGCAGCAGAAGUUAACUCACCAGACACUUCAUUGGGCACACCUGCAGCAUGUAAUGCAGGGGUGUCCGACUUUUAACACAGAGCUGAAAUGUUUUGGCAUCUUGGCCUAGUUGGAAUCCAGCGGGACAGCGGCAGUAAAAGCUUCCGAUGGUGUUGCAGCAGAGAGCUUCACAUCCUCCGUUGGUCUCCUCGCAUUCAUUCACAUCUGAUAUGAGAAACAAGGAAAAGGUUAAUACGCCGGUCGGGAAAAUUGCAAGCAGAUAAACCACAGAAGUCAGGAUGUAGGUUUAGAAGAUAUUUUUGAGCAGGAACAGGUGCCAAUUUGAUUACGUUUGAAAUGUCUGAAAAGUGCUAAAAGUGCUCAAGAAGACAAUUUUCCUACAUGACUCUUCAA